rnacentral:snRNA from 1 species
GUGCUUGAUUUGGCAGCAUAUUUAUUAAAAUUGGAACAAUACAGAGAUUAACAAGGCUCCUGAACAAGGGUGACACACAAAUUUAUGAAGAGUUCAAUAUUGUU